rnacentral:rRNA from 1 species
AGCAGCCGCGGUAAUUCCAGCUCCAAUAGCGUAUAUUAAAGUUGUUGCAGUUAAAAAGCUCGUAGUUGAAUUUCGGGGUUAGUAGGUUGGUCAUGCCUCUGGUAUGUACUGGUCUCACUGAUUCCUCCUUCCUGAUGAGCCGUAAUGCCAUUAAUUUGGUGUUGCGGGGAAUUUGGACUGCUACUUUGAAAAAAUUAGAGUGUUUAAAGCAAGCUAACGCUUGAAUACAUUAGCAUGGAAUAAUGAAAUAGGACGUUCGAUCCUAUUUUGUUGGUUUCUAGGAUUGACGUAAUGAUUAAUAGGGAUAGUUGGGGGCAUUAGUAUUCAAUUGUCAGAGGUGAAAUUCUUGGAUUUAUUGAAGACUAACUACUGCGAAAGCAUUUGCCAAGGAUGUUUUCAUUAAUCAAGAACGAAAGUUAGGGGAUCGAAGACGAUCAGAUACCGUCGUAGUCUUAACCAUAAACUAUGCCGACUAGGGAUCGGAUGAUGUUAAUUUUUUAAUGACUCAUUCGGCGCCUUA